rnacentral:lncRNA from 1 species
CUUUCCCCUCGCCUUAGCAGGGCAAGAGUAGCCUCAGGCAUCUUGCAAUAAUUCUACCCCAAAUUGUUUCCCAGACAAGUUCGGUUACUCGAAAUUGGACGUCACUAAAUUCUUCCGCCAGAGUCCACGUGAGCCUAAGAAAAGAGGGAAACUUUUUCUACUCUGAGGGAGACAAACAUAUGCUAAAAAGAAAACUAGAGCGUCUCUCCUGUCUGCUCCUAAGGGCAACACCCUGGCCUUCCAUCCGCCAAAGAGAACAGAAGUGAAAUUCAAGGCAUGGACGUUACUCUCCUCUGGAGCCACGCGGGGGAGCCCGUGCCAGGGCGAACGCCGACACGGCGGCCCGGGACCGGCGACUUUCCUUGCGAGGAGACCCGCCCCGACCCCCUGCAGCCCCGAGAGCGUGCGAGAGCCCCGCCAGCGAGCCCUCACUCCGCGGGGUGGCGUUUAAUAAAACCGAAGUCAAAAUAAGGAAGAAAGAUGUGUUUUUAAAAGUAGAAAAUAUCUUCAAAUGAAAUUCUUUUCUUAAAAGCACUCCCCCUCCAAAAAACUAAGUAAAUAAAGUGGUGAAACUUGAGGAAUGUCAAACAGAAGAUAGAAGGGAAUGAACUAAGUCAGACCUACAGUUAGACCAACUGGAAGCGAGCGGACAAGAAGGAAAGGGAGGGAGCAGGGACGGAGGGAUGGAGGGAGGAAAUUAGCAAGCUUUCGUCUGUGGGUCUGCGCCUGGGUUGGGAAUGACCCGGGGUGAGCAGGAAGCCUGCACUCCGUUUAGGACCCUGUGAUUAUGUCAACCCUCAGAGUGACCUGUCUGGGGACAGACCUCUCAAAAGACUGGAGGUUUAACAAUAAAUAAGGAUUUGCUUCCAUUCGUAUACUUUUCGGCGCAAAGUUGUUUCAAAACACCGGACACCUGUGGGACCGAAUUGUUCAAUAAUCCUCAAAGAACAAAAAGCCACCGAGAAGCGUUUCAAGGGCAAUUAUGAUAACAGCCAGCACCUCGACUAGGCCGAGCAGGUCACAUUAACAAAAAUGGUCAAAUAGCCUAGGAGCAGAAGAAGGAGAUGCAAAUGGAAGAUGAAAGGACCUAAUAAUGCCAUCAUAGUGCCAGUGACCCAGGCCAAUCGCUUCACCUCUUUGUGCUUAUUUUCUUAACUGGAACAAGUGAGGGGGAUGAUACUUCAUUACCUUUUAUACAAGUGAUUGACAUACAAAGUGGAAAAUCAGGCCCUAUUUUAAAUAAAUUGAUUUUAUUCAUUUACUCCAUAAAUAUUUACUGAGAACCUACUAUGUGCCAAGCACUGGGCUAAAUAUGAGGGAUAUGACCACCAAUAAGUAUUUAUUGAAUCAAUAACUACUUGUUAAAUGACCCCUUCUUUAAAUAAUGGUAUCCCACUGAUUAGCUUGAAGGAAACAAAAUAAAUUAAUGAAUUGAGAUGUAGUUAUUUUAAGUUAGGCC